rnacentral:lncRNA from 1 species
GCCAAGAUGGCCGAAUAUGAACAGCUCCUGUCUACAGCUCCCAGCGUGAGCAACGAAGAAGACGGGUGAUUUCAGCAUUUCCAUCUGAGUUAAAAUCCUGGAUAUGGAGUCCGAGAUAUGGAAGGCCAAUUGGCUGCCAAAGAAAUGGGAGAGACAACACGUGCGGUGGCUUCAAAGGAGGAGGGAGAGUUGAGUUUAAACUAAUGAAGUAAAGGCAGGGAUGGGAGACUGAAAGGAAGGAAGACGCUGACACUUCUUCAGUGUGAUUGUAUGCCAUACACUGUGCUGGGUGCUGUUAAUACAACAACGCUUCUGGCUAUGUACUGUUUAACCCCAUUAGAAAUAAAGCAACAGGAGUUCAGAGAAUUUAAGUAACUCGAUUUAGGUCACUCAGCAAUUAGCCAGGCCAGACAUAUACCCAGGCUGAAGGAUGGCCAAGCUCAUUAAGUCAGGCAGCUAGAAUUGAGACCAGUGGUGAAAUAGAAUGAGAGCAUUGAUAUGAACGUGGUUUAUACACUUUUAAGGGCUACGAAGAUCAUUCCAGAGGAAUGAAGGAACAAGGAGAGAAUUGUGUCAACAAAGACUGGCACAUGGCAGGAUUCCACUCACUUUCCACAAACUUUGAAGGAAGAAGUAGCUAAUUGAAUCUGAAGUUUCAUUCACUAGAAACUAAUAGAGAAUUUACAAUAAUUUAUCCUGGAUGGAAAGUAAGAUCCAUCAUGUACAUGUUAGACAAGAGAAGCAUUUGAUCCCUUAUCUUCCUAGUUAACAUUCAUCUUGAACACUGAUUAUGUGAUAGUCUUCCUAAAACAAAUAGCAAGGGGGAUGGGGUUGGGGAGCACACAGAUAACAAAAAAGUUUUGAUGAGCUUUAUGGAGACAGGAGAUAAUUUGUUGAUAUAAAAAUACACCUGUAAUCCCAGCACUUGGGGAGGCUGAGGCGGGCGGAUCACUUGAGGUCAGGAGUUUGAGACCAGCCUGGCCAACAUGGUAAAACCCUGUCUCUACUAAAAAUACAAAAAUUAGCUUGGCGUGGUAGUGUGUGCUUGUAGUCCCAGCUACUCGUGAGGCUGAAGCAGGUAAAUCGCUUGAACCAGUGAGGCAGAGGUUGCAGUGAGCUGAGAUCACACCACUGCACUCCAGCCUGGGCGACAGAGCGAGACUCUGUCUCAAAAAAAAAAAAAAAAGAGACGCUUUUGCAUGUACUUCCUUUCCACCACCAUCUGUCACCUAGGAAAACCUCUACAAUCACAAAGCUUAUCUGAAAAUCUGACUAUAUUCAGGCAAGAUUCAAACCAAGAGAAGUCAAACCUAGAGACACGCGGUUAUGAACUAUAAACUGUUCAUAAGGCCCUGGGGUUUUUCGGACCACUUGUGCCCUAACCAGCCUGUGGGCUCCCAUGUUCAUUAUCCUCCCAAGUGUUAAGGCACAAGGUAUCAGGCAUCAGGCAGUUUUUGUAUUAGGAAGACUAUCACAUAAUCAGUGUUAAAGAUCAAUGUUAACUAGGAAGAUAAGGGAUCAAAUGCUUCUCUUGUUUAACAUAUACACGAUGGAUCUUACUUUCCAUCCAGGAGAAGUUAUUGUAAAUUCUCUAUAUUAGUUUCUAGUGAAUGAAACUUCAGAUUCAAUUAGCUACUUCUUCCUUCGAAGUUUGUGGAAAGUGAGUGGAAUCCUGCCAUGUGCCAGACUUUGUUGACACAAUUCUCUCUUUGUUCCUGCAUUCCUUUGGAAUAAUCUUCAUAGUCCUUAAAAGUUUGUAAACCAUGUUCAUAUCAAUGCUCUCAUUCUAUUUCACCACUGAUCUCAAUUCAGGCAGUUUUUGUUGCACAAAACCUCAGAAACUAAAACAACGAACAUUAUUUGGCACAUGUCUGCAGAGCCCAGCACUGCUCUACAGUGGGCUUGACUGGACAGCUCUGCUGAUCUCGGCUGGGAGCACUGAGGCAUCUGGGGCUUGGCUAUCGCUUGGCCAGUCUAGGCCAGCCUUGGCUGCAGUGACUCAGCUCUGCUCCGGGUGUCUCUCACCCACCUCUGGAAUCAGCGGGCUACCUCAGUCAUGUCAUUCUCACGACGAUGGAAGCAGUGCAAGAGGAAAAGUGAAACAUGCAGGAGCUCUUGAGGCCUAGUCUCCAGACUGGCACACCAUCUUGUCUGCCUUAUUCCACUGACCAACAUAAACCACCAACUUGAGCCCAGAGUCUGGGUAUGAAAGAGCUGCACAGAUGCAUGGCAAUGGACAUGAAUAUAGUGAGGGUGAAGAUGGGGACCGUUACCGGCUCCAGUCACACCUAGUCUGCAAAAGACUUGGCUCACUGGUUGGGCCCAAGAGGUUCCCUGAGGACAAUGACUGUAUCUAUUUAUGUUAUUUCAUCUUUUCAAUCACUUUGCAAAACAAUAUCAUGACUCCAACUUAUAAAAGAGGAUAUCAAGUUUCCAAAACAUGAAGAAAUAAACUACUUAAAAUCAUCUGUCCCUUCACAUUGGAUAGCCCUUGAAAUUGAACUCCAGCACCAUUAUCAGUUGCUAAAGUUCCCGAACCAUUCCAGGGAGGGACCUUCUUAAUGGUCCAAAUCUCAGCCAGGCAUUAUUCUUGUGAUUUCAGGGAGUGCGCGGCUCUGGGCUGAGGCCAUUGAGACUUGUAUUUGAUGGAGAACCAGGCUUUAAGGAGAAGGAAACAGUAUUUUGAAUACAAGGCGCUGCUCUUAUCUUCUAUCAAUAGAUAAAGUUUUGGGAUAUGCACCUUCCACUAAGGCUCACAAAAGGAUUGGCAGCAUUUUGAAAGGGCAAAACAAGUUUUUCUUUCUUUUCCCUCUCUUUUAGGGUGAAGUAGUUGCAUUGAUGGCCACUCUUGGCUUCCUACAGUGAAGUCACCUCAGACUUUGGGGGUUUUUCUACAGAGGUGGAGGUCAGGAUGGGUCCUGGGAGGUGGGAGGGGGUGCUGUGUCCAGCUCCCCAGCAGAUGUACUAUUGUGGCUGCCCUGGGGAAAGGCUGAGAACCUAUGGGGAGGGUUGAGAAAAAAUUUCCAGGAGCUUCAUGGUGGCACCAGGCAGGAGGGAGUCCAGGGCCUUCCUCCACACAUACUGUGCUUCUGCCUACAAUCCACAUCAUACUCUACCCUGUGUGCAUAUCACAUACUGAAGGAACCAAGCUUCAGUUCAGUUUGUUUCCAGCACCUUCAUCUGCUAAUGCCAUGUUAGGCAUGGGAGAUACUAAGAUGAACCAUAAAUGGUCCUUGCCUUUAAAGAGAUUACAGGGUAGUGGGAACAUCAGGAAAAAACAGAAAGGAAAAGAGAAAUGCGAUUGGGUGGCAUAGACUGAAUAGCCAAGGCAGCAUGUAAGAGGCAGUAAGAUCCUCUGGAAUGAUGACUUCGAAGCUAGGAGUUGAAGUACAAGUGGAAAUUUACCAGACGGAAUCUGGAAGAGAGACUUCCAAAGAAAGAGAAGAUGCUGACUCAGUCUUGGCUAUUAAAAUGUCCAUAUUCCAAAAGCAUGAGUAUUGAAUUCAGAUGGCUGUCUAGAAUCCUCCAACAUACUGGACUCAUCCAGGACUCUCUGAGCCUUAGUUGCUUCAUCUGUGAAAUGGGAAUAAUCUUAGGUACCUGACAGCAGUGUGCUGACAACUAAAUGAAAUACAGUUUGUGAAAACAUUUUAUAGGCUAUAAAGUG